rnacentral:rRNA from 1 species
UACGAGGACGAACGCUGGCGGCGUGCUUAAUACAUGCAAGUCAACUUGACUUUAGAUAGCAAUAUCGAAAAGUAGGGUGGCGCACGGGUGCGUAACGCGUAGGUAAUCUGCCCUGAGGUCUGACAUAACCCGUCGAAAGGCGGGCUAACAUCAGAUGAUAUAUAAUCACGACAUCGUGGAAAUAUCAAAUCUUCGGAGCCUUGGGAUGAGCCUGCGUCUGAUUAGGUAGUUGGCGGAGUAAUAGCCCACCAAGCCUACGAUCAGUAGCUGGUCUGAGAGGAUGAUCAGCCACACUGGAACUGAGACACGGUCCAGACUCCUACGGGAGGCAGCAGUAAGGAAUAUUGCUCAAUGGGGGGAAACCCUGAAGCAGCAACGCCGCGUGAAGGAUGAAAUACUUUGUAUGUAAACUUCUGUAAGAUGGGAAAAAUAUUCUCCUCGGGAGAAUUGAUUGUACCAUCAGAGUAAGCCCCGGCUAACUACGUG